GGCACUUAACGCGACUUUCCCUAACGGUGGAGUGACGCCCACCGAGCCCCAUCAGGUCACCUGUCAAUAGUGUGCAAAAAACACACACGGAAUCGGCAAUGUCCACAUGUACGUGCCAACAUUUACCAGUGAGAACCGUAAAUUUAUUUUUUUAUCAUUUAUUGUGUUGUGACUCUGAACCAGCUAUGUUUUUCCUGUAUGGAAUGAUGAACGGUAUCAGAAAUGUACUCAGAUACAUAUCAGGUGACAAGUAAAAGUCAGCUGUCAGCAACAAUGUCGUUUGGUAGUUAGACGCCUUUCCAGUCAUGACUUAUGUUAUCAAGCAUGUCAUGGAGUUGUUUAACUUGUCACGGUUGAAGUUUCGCUACGUACGUUGACUUGCUGUCAACGGCGCACAAUACAACGCAACAUGCCUCACUAGUCACUGCGUUUCCACAAUGUAGAUGAAAAAUCAACAGUAUCAAAUGUAGCUUCAACGUGCGGAAGAAAGACUUCCUUGUCGACAUAUGUACAGGUGUAACAAAGUCCCUUCCUCACCUUCAAGGAAGCAUUAUAAGGAAAUAUGGCGCCGUGCCUGGCUGUCGUCGUAACGUUCCUUGUGACGUUUGUGUUCCUGUGCUCUGGCCAGUCGGUCUGCAAGCCGCCUACAGAGGAGAAAUGCACGUGUAACCAGGUAGAGAACGAUGGGCUGAAGUCUGAAUUGGAUCGCCUGAAAAUCGUUGUGGAGCAAAUUUUUCAGAAGACCGAGUAUCGACCCUUGAGGAACAACUGGCUCAGGAGCGAAACAGGGUGAAUAGUAUCCAGGACGACCUCACGCAUGUGCAGAAUGCCACGACCCAGAAUGUUGAGUUAGCGGGAAAACAAAAACCGACCUGUGCAGCGCAAUACCGACACUGGGACGAGUCUUUCAAGCACAGUCACCAGCUGGUAACUAUAAGUAUGACUUGGAUGAAGCAAAGCACGCAUGCGCAGAACAGGGUGCUAGCCUCGCCUCCUAUUACCAGCUGGCCGAGGCCUUUCAUGGCGGACUGGAGCUCUGCGCAUGCGGGUGGCUGUCGGACGGGACCGCCAAGUAUCCAAUGCAAGAAGACAGAGGUCCUCACUGUGGCGGCGGGCGUGGCAUCUUCACCUGUUCACACUCAAGUACUUAUAACGCCUGGUGCGUCCGUCAGCUCAGAAUCUGUGACUGAACAGCACAACAGGAAGGCGAUAUAACAGACUUACGGAAGGCACAUGUGAUCCUGUUUCAUCGAUCUAUACGAAACUAUAUACAUAGAUAGAAAUAUAUAGAUA